rnacentral:rRNA from 1 species
AGUGAACGCUGGCGGUAGGCCUAACACAUGCAAGUCGAACGGCAGCACAGUAAGAGCUUGCUCUUACGGGUGGCGAGUGGCGGACGGGUGAGGAAUACAUCGGAAUCUACUUUUUCGUGGGGGAUAACGUAGGGAAACUUACGCUAAUACCGCAUACGACCUACGGGUGAAAGCAGGGGAUCUUCGGACCUUGCGCGAUUGAAUGAGCCGAUGUCGGAUUAGCUAGUUGGCGGGGUAAAGGCCCACCAAGGCGACGAUCCGUAGCUGGUCUGAGAGGAUGGUCGGCCACACUGGAGCUUAACCACGGGCUCGGGUCCUACGAGCGGCAGCAGUGGGGUAUAUUGGGUAAUGGGCGCGAGCCUGAUCCAGUCCUACCGCGCGGGUGAAGGAGGCCUUGGGGUUGUAAUGCCGUUUUGUUGGGAAAGAAAAGCCGCAGGUGAAUAACCGGCUGGUGUGACGGUACCAGAACAAUACGCACCGGCUAACUUCGUG